rnacentral:lncRNA from 1 species
CAAUGAUACCCUCGACCAGAUAUGGACCAAGGAAAUAGCAGCUGGCAGACCUCACUGCACUGGACACCCAACACCAAACAAUCCACCAAACUGAAACUCUAGAGACUCAAUAAAUGAGGCAAGACACAUGAAAUCAGCUGAGAUGAAAUUCGAAUACAGGCCAACAUGCAUUUUAGCAACUUCAUAAGCUGCCAUGGAGAAAUCCAACUGCACAGAGCACUGGUAUGGUGAACGCAUACAGCCCUUUCACAAUGUUUGUUCCAUGCAGCCACCACAAAGAGACCUCAGACCAUGGUACCCCGCAUCCUACAAACCCCAAAGUUCACAGCCCAAGACAUACUAAACCCCUCAAGGUUUCAGCACCCUCAAUCCCUGGCUCACAGACUUAUCUCCAGGUCAGAGAUGGCACACUCAGGGUGCAGAGCCACCGAUGGGGCAGAUACCUCCCAUGCUUUGUCAAAUACACUUUGUGAUGUCACAAGCUAGGGUAUAGACACCUAGGGUGUUCACGUCCCCUGAAAUUCCUACAUGGAUCAUUCCUAGUUGUGGACUUGAAGCUCUUCUAGGGAACUGGACAUAAGGAGUCCAGCCUCUUGCCUAGACUUCCCACCCUACAAAUGGUGCCAAGAUGCCAGUAAAGGCACAUUCACUCCCUUGCUCCACUGAGGCCAGUGUGAACUGGUAAAACACCUUUGCAGGGGUCUGUGGCAGCUCCCAUCAGAAUUCACAUUCCGUCCUGCCCUCACCCUCAGCAGCAUUUGCCUUCAUGAAAGAGGGACAUGUGUUAGUCCUAUUCUGUGAUGCCUCCUUGGCGUUUAGAACAGCGUCAGGCACAUGCACAUAGUAGGCACUCUAUAGAGAUGUCUGUUUAGGCAAGGAAGUCUUUGAUCCAGCAGUCUCCCUGCUGUGAAAGUGCCUUAGGAAAAUAUUCCCACAUGCUCAGAGAUGUGUGUACAAUGACAGCAAAUUUCUAGGGGAAACUCUAGUGCCCAUUGAUAGUCAGUGACCAUUUGUUUCCAUUUUCAUUCAUUUCUUUCAACUGUGU